UACGAAGGGGGCUAGCGUUGCUCGGAGUCACUGGGCGUAAAGGGUGCGUAGGCGGGUCUUUAAGUCAGGGGUUAAAUCCUGGAGCUCAACUCCAGAACUGCCUUUGAUACUGAAGAUCUUGAGUUCGGGAGAGGUGAGUGGAACUGCGAGUGUAGAGGUGAAAUUCGUAGAUAUUCGCAAGAACACCAGUGGCGAAGGCGGCUCACUGGCCCGAUACUGACGCUGAGGCACGAAAGCGUGGGGAGCAAACAGG
rnacentral:rRNA from 1 species